UUUCCGUAGGUGAACCUGCGGAAGGAUCAUUAACGAGUUAGGGUCUUCUAGGCCCGACCUCCCAACCCUUUGUUUACUGAACCAUUGUUGCCUCGGUGGGUCCGUCUUACGACCGCCGGGGGAUCGCCGCGAGGCGCCCCCUGGCCAGCGCCCACCGAUAGCCCAACCUUUAAAACCCUUUGUGAAUCGUGUCUUAUGUCUAAAUUUAUGGUUAAACAAUCAAAACAAAACUUUCAACAACGGAUCUCUUGGUUCUG
rnacentral:misc_RNA from 1 species